AUUGAACGCUGGCGGCAUGCCUUACACAUGCAAGUCGAGCGGCAGCGCGGGGGCAACCCUGGCGGCGAGCGGCGAACGGGUGAGUAAUACAUCGGAACGUGUCCAGUAGCGGGGGAUAACCUGUCGAAAGAUAGGCUAAUACCGCAUACGAUCUACGGAUGAAAGCGGGGGACCGCAAGGCCUCGCACUGUUGGAGCGGCCGAUGUCGGAUUAGCUAGUUGGCGGGGUAAAAGCCCACCAAGGCGACGAUCCGUAGCUGGUCUGAGAGGACGACCAGCCACACUGGAACUGGGACACGGUCCAGACUCCUACGGGAGGCAGCAGUGGGGAAUUUUGGACAAUGGGGGCAACCCUGAUCCAGCCAUGCCGCGUGAGUGAAGAAGGCCUUCGGGUUGUAAAGCUCUUUCGGCGGGGACGAAACGGUCCGUGACAACACCACGGACUAAUGACGGUACUCGCAGAAGAAGCACCGGCUAACUACGUGCCAGCCGCCGCGGUAA
rnacentral:rRNA from 1 species